AGACCCGAAACCCGGUGAUCUAGCCAUGGGCAGGUUGAAGGUUGGGUAACACUAACUGGAGGACCGAACCGACUAAUGUUGAAAAAUUAGCGGAUGACCUGUGGCUGGGGGUGAAAGGCCAAUCAAACCGGGAGAUAGCUGGUUCUCCCCGAAAGCUAUUUAGGUAGCGCCUCGUGAAUUCAUCUCCGGGGGUAGAGCACUGUUUCGGCUAGGGGGCCAUCCCGGCUUACCAACCCGAUGCAAACUGCGAAUACCGGAGAAUGUUAUCACGGGAGACACACGGCGGGUGCUAACGUCCGUCGUGAAGAGGGAAACAACCCAGACCGCCAGCUAAGGUCCCAAAGUCAUGGUUAAGUGGGAAACGAUGUGGGAAGGCCCAGACAGCCAGGAUGUUGGCUUAGAAGCAGCCAUCAUUUAAAGAAAGCGUAAUAGC
rnacentral:rRNA from 1 species